CCCUUAGAUGUUCGGGGCCGCACGCGCGCUACACUGAAGGAAUCAGCGCGUCUUUCUCCUUGUCCGAAAGGACUGGGUAACCCGCUGAACCUCCUUCGUGCUAGGGAUUGGGGCUUGCAAUUCUUCCCCAUGAACGAGGAAUUCCCAGUAAGCGCGAGUCAUAAGCUCGCGUUGAUUACGUCCCUGCCCUUUGUACACACCGCCCGUCGCUACUACCGAUUGGAUGGUUUAGUGAGAUCCUCGGAUUGGUCCCGGCGCGGCCUCUGGUCGUGCCGGAGUGCCGAAAAGAAUGUCGAACUUGAUCAUCUAGAGGAAGUAAAAGUCGUAACA
rnacentral:rRNA from 1 species